AGGACGAACGCUGGCGGCGUGCUUAACACAUGCAAGUCGAGCGGAAAGGCCCUUCGGGGUACUCGAGCGGCGAACGGGUGAGUAACACGUGAGUAAUCUGCCCCUAGCUCUGGGAUAGCUCCGGGAAACCGGGAUUAAUACCAGAUACGACCACUUUAGACAUCUGCUGUGGUGGAAAGAAUUUCGGCUAGGGAUGAGCUCGCGGCCUAUCAGCUUGUUGGUGAGGUAACGGCUCACCAAGGCGACGACGGGUAGCCGGCCUGAGAGGGCGACCGGCCACACUGGGACUGAGACACGGCCCAGACUCCUACGGGAGGCAGCAGUGGGGAAUAUUGCGCAAGUGGGGGAAACCCUGACGCAGCAACGCCGCGUGGAGGAUGAAGUACUUCGGUACGUAAACUCCUUUCGAUCGGGACGAUUAUGACGGUACCGGAAGAAGAAGCCCCGGCUAACUUCGCGCCAGCACGCCGAC
rnacentral:rRNA from 1 species